GGGUUCUACCGUUGGUCGGGCUAUAGUCUGUACUGGCGCGUGGAAUUUCUACCUUCUGGGGAACUAUCAUGUUAUUAAUUUAGCGUGGUAGGAAACCAGAACCUUUACCUUGAAAAAAUUAGAGUGUUUAAAGCAGGCAUCCGCUUGAAUACAUUAGCAUGGAAUAACAGAAUAAGACUU
rnacentral:rRNA from 1 species